rnacentral:lncRNA from 10 species
CAGUGUGCUAUCGGAGGCUGAGUCAUCCCUGCUGCAAAUCGAAACUGUGGAUCUGAAAAGAAUUUUCUCAUCUAAACCAGAGCUUCAGUCUCCCAGAAAGCAAUGAAGAGAAAAGCUGAAGUCAGUGAUUAGGAGUGUCUGUGUAAGUAAAAGCAACAGGCAAUUACUGAGUGUGGUGUGAGAGGCACGGAAAGAUUGGGAAUUCAGCAAGAAGAGGAAUUGAAGUCAAACCUCACCUACUUCCCAGAGUCUUCUGGAUUUUCUGUUAGAAGCUUCAGUAUCUGAGGGGCACACCCAGCUCCAAGAUCACCUUCCCAGGCCUCUCUUGCUAUGACAGAUGCCAUGUGACACAGUUCUAGCCAAUGAGAAGUAACCAGAACACCCUGGGUUUGACUCAGCUGGGAAGACUUCAGUGAAA